GCCUUCGUAGUGUAAUGGUUAGCACACUCGGCGCAUACUCGAGUGGUCCGUGGUUCGAGUCCCGGCUAGAGCA
rnacentral:tRNA from 1 species